GGUUUAGCCCAGUUACCAUGGAGACCGGUAGUAACACCAGUUGUAAACCCAAGGCCAAGAGACCAUGGCCACGUUAGCCCGGCUGCAAGCUAGGUCGUCGACUGUAGGAAAUCAGUACUACUUUAGGAACAGUGUUGUAGAUCCAUUUAGAAAAAAGGAGAAUGAUGCAGCAGUUAAAAUCCAAAGCUGGUUUCGAGGAUGUCAAGUUCGGGCAUAUAUCAGGCAUUUAAACAGGAUUGUAACAAUUAUUCAAAAAUGGUGGAGAAGUUUCUUAGGCAGAAAGCAAUAUCAACUAACUGUGCAGGUAGCAUAUUAUACUAUGAUGAUGAAUCUCUACAAUGCAAUGGCUGUCAGGAUUCAGAGACGAUGGCGAGGCUAUAGGGUUCGGAAGUACCUCUUUAAUUAUUAUUAUUUGAAAGAGUACCUGAAAGUCGUUUCAGAGACCAAUGAUGCAAUUAGGAAGGCACUGGAGGAGUUUGCAGAAAUGAAAGAAAGAGAAGAGAAGAAGGCUAACCUCGAAAGGGAAGAGAAGAAAAGAGAUUACCAAGCCCGAAAGAUGCAUUACCUCCUCAGCACAAAGCAGAUUCCAGGAAUAUACAAUUCACCCUUCAGAAAAGAGCCUGAUCCAUGGGAGCUGCAAUUACAAAAGGCAAAGCCUUUAACACACCGAAGACCUAAAGUUAAGCAGAAGGACUCCACCAGCCUUACUGAUUGGCUAGCUUGUACAAGCACCCGUUCUUUUCCUCGGUCUGAAAUUCUACCACCUAUUAAUAGAAAGCAAUGUCAGGGGCCCUUCCGAGAUAUCACCGAAGUAUUAGAACAACGCUACAGGCCUUUGGAGCCAACGUUGCGGGUGGCAGAACCAAUCGAUGAGUUAAAGUUGGCCAGAGAGGAGCUCAGAAGAGAGGAAUGGCUGCAAAAUGUAAAUGACAAUAUGUUUACAUUUUCAACUGCCAUCUUUGUAUCUCCACCAGAUGUCCUAAACGCAGUAUAUAACGCACUUUCCUGCAUCUUUUCUUGAGUGUGAAUUGCAUCACCAACUAUCUGCACAAGCUAGAGACUUGUUUUUGCCAUUUUCUUCAUACCAUAAAAAUGAAAAGUACAUCCCAUCAAUGCAUUUAUCAAGCAAGUAUGGUCCUGUUUCUUACAAAGAACAAUUCCGAAGUGAAAAUCCUAAGAAAUGGAUCUGUAACAAGGAUUUCCAGACUGUAUUACCAUCAUUUGAGCUCUUCUCAAAGUAUGGAAAAUUAUAUUCAAAAGCUGGACAGAUUGUAUAAAGAAAACAGAAGAUGAAAUGUAAAACUGAGAUUAAGGUGUGAAGUGAGUGUGAAUAGAAGACCCCACACUGCCUGGAGUCCUGGAUUCUUCCACGUCUGAUGAGUGACCUUGAAUCUCUUAAUCUCUCUAGUUUUCUCUCUCUUAGGUGUCAGAAGAAGAAACUGAAGCCAUCUGCAUUUUAAAACUUAACAGUUCUGAAAGGAAAACACAGAUGCAGAUCCUGUAGGAAAUAUACUUGCUAUGAUUCUAUAAACUAUAAAAUUUUGUAGCUCUA